AUGUGCGCAAUGGCGAAGGUGGCCGACGGCAAGCUGGAGGUGUUUGUGGGGGCCAACUUUGUUACCGAUGAGAUCCUCAAUUAUAUUGGUGUCAGGUCGCCCUCUCUCAAGGUGCUUGCCCUCUUAUCAUGCUACCAUGUAACCAGCGAAGGGUUCACCGAUCUGGUAGCCAAGUGCCCUCAGCUAGAAGACAUCGAGCUUUCGGGUUGUGUAGGUGUCCGUGGCGACGUAAUGGUGGCCACUGGCAGGGCAUGCCUGCGGCUGAAGCGGCUGGUGCUGGACAAAACGUGGAGGCGCAGGUGGGACAGCGGGGAGGUGGCAGGCAUCUCGAUGAUGCACGAGCUCCGGCACCUUAGCCUCGCCCGCAGCGAAAUCACGAACGAGGAGCUCAUGGCCGUCCUCGACUCCUGCCCGUGCCUGGAGUACCUCUCGGUGGUCGACUGCUACAACAUAGUUGCUGACAGCGCCCUGCGAGCAAAGUGUGGCACUGUCAAGACGCUGGAGCUUCCGACUUCACAGGAUCACCUUUAUGAUUGGGAUGAGUUUUAUGCCUAUGGGUUUGGGACCGCUUCCUACCAUCGCUGGAUGUCCGACGAUCGCUACGCUUCGAAUGGGCCUUAUGAUUAUGAGUUUGGGACCGCUUCCUAUGACCAUGACGUCGACUAUGGUUGGAUGCCGGAUGACUAA
rnacentral:rRNA from 1 species